CGUAGGGUGCGAGCGUUAAUCGGAAUUACUGGGCGUAAAGCGUGCGCAGGCGGUUUUGUAAGACAGAUGUGAAAUCCCCGGGCUCAACCUGGGACCUGCAUUUGUGACUGCAAGGCUAGAGUACGGUAGAGGGGGAUGGAAUUCCGCGUGUAGCAGUGAAAUGCGUAGAUAUGCGGAGGAACACCGAUGGCGAAGGCAAUCCCCUGGACCUGUACUGACGCUCAUGCACGAAAGCGUGGGGAGCAAACAGGAUUAGAUACCCUGGUAGUCCACGCCCUAAACGAUGUCAACUGGUUGUUGGGUCUUUACUGACUCAGUAACGAAGCUAACGCGUGAAGUUGACCGCCGUGGGAGUACGGCCGCAAGGUU
rnacentral:rRNA from 1 species